rnacentral:rRNA from 1 species
GAUGAAUGCUAGCGGCAGGCUUAAUACAUGCAAGUCGAGGGGUAGCAAGAUUGUAGCAAUACAAUUGUUGACGACCGGCAAACGGGUGCGGAACACGUACACAACCUUCCUACAAGUGGGGAAUAGCCCAGAGAAAUUUGGAUUAAUACCCCGUAACAUAGCGAUGUGGCAUCACAUUGCUAUUAUAGCUUCGGCGCUUGUUGAUGGGUGUGCGGCUGAUUAGAUAGUUGGCGGGGUAACGGCCCACCAAGUCUACGAUCAGUAGCUGAUGUGAGAGCAUGAUCAGCCACACGGGCACUGAGACACGGGCCCGACUCCUACGGGAGGCAGCAGUAAGGAAUAUUGGACAAUGGACGCAAGUCUGAUCCAGCCAUGCCGCGUGAAGGAUUAAGGUCCUCUGGACUGUAAACUUCUUUUAUAAGGGACGAAAAAAGGUCUUUCUAGAUCGUCUGACGGUACCUUAUGAAUAAGCACCGGCUAACUCCGUGCCAGCCGCCGCCGUAACAC